rnacentral:rRNA from 1 species
AUUGAACGCUGGCGGCAGGCCUAACACAUGCAAGUCGAGCGGAUGAAGGGAGCUUGCUCCUGGAUUCAGCGGCGGACGGGUGAGUAAUGCCUAGGAAUCUGCCUGGUAGUGGGGGAUAACGUCCGGAAACGGGCGCUAAUACCGCAUACGUCCUGAGGGAGAAAGUGGGGGAUCUUCGGACCUCACGCUAUCAGAUGAGCCUAGGUCGGAUUAGCUAGUUGGUGGGGUAAAGGCCUACCAAGGCGACGAUCCGUAACUGGUCUGAGAGGAUGAUCCGUCACACUGGAACUGAGACACGGUCCAGACUCCUACGGGAGGCAGCAGUGGGGAAUAUUGGACAAAGGGCGAAAGCCUGAUCCAGCCAUGCCGCGUGUGUGUAGAAGGUCUUCGGAUUGUAAAGCACUUUAAGUUGGGAGGAAGGGCAGUAAGUUAAUACCUUGCUGUUUUGACGUUACCAACAGAAUAAGCACCGGCUAACUUCGUG